AUAAAAGUAGACAAAAUCUUGGUUCUGUAACAUUUUUGUGAUUUUAUAUUUAUAGGUUGGAUGUGGAACAGGAAGAAAAGGUUUCAUCUCUGAAAACACAGAGCAGUAACAGAUUUUGUGGAAUGAACGAAGAAAAAGAACUCAGACUUUAACAGAGAUAUAGGUACAAACCACUGUGCAAUGAAUUUACAGACAGGCGUUGGCUAAAGAUAUCAAAAAGUGAACUGGAACCUUAGAGAUUGACACCAAUGGACUCUUGAUUGGUCUGAUUGGUAAAGAAGAAUUAAGGUGAAGGAAAAUGAACUUGAGUUAGUAUCAGCCACCAUAAUCAAGUGUUUCCUGUGUUCGAGAAGGGGUGUUACAGAAUGGCUGUCAUGGCUGUCCAAGGAAUACAAAAGUUAAAUGGAGCUGAACAAUGGCAGUAAGGGGUGAUUUGACAACACCUACAA